UACGAAGGGUGCAAGCGUUACUCGGAAUUACUGGGCGUAAAGCGUGCGUAGGUGGUGAGUUAAGUCUGUCGUGAAAGCCCCGGGCUCAACCUGGGAAUGGCGAUGGAUACUGGCUCGCUAGAGUGCGGUAGAGGAGAGUGGAAUUCCCGGUGUAGAGGUGAAAUUCGUAGAUAUCGGGAGGAACACCGGUGGCGAAGGCGGCGAUCUGGGUCGAUACUGACGCUGAGGUGGCGAAAGCG
rnacentral:rRNA from 1 species